rnacentral:rRNA from 1 species
CGCAUGGUAGGAGAGCGUUCCGUAAGCCUGCGAAGGUGCCUUGUAAAGGGUGCUGGAGGUAUCGGAAGUGCGAAUGCUGACAUGAGUAGCGAUAAAGGGGGUGAAAGGCCCCCUCGCCGUAAGCCCAAGGUUUCCUACGCAACGUUCAUCGGCGUAGGGUGAGUCGGCCCCUAAGGCGAGGCAGAAAUGCGUAGCUGAUGGGAAGCAGGUCAAUAUUCCUGCACCAUUGUUAGAUGCGAUGGGGGGACGGAUCGCGGAAGGUUGUCCGGGUGUUGGAAGUCCCGGUCGCUGCAUUGGAGAAGGCGCUUAGGCAAAUCCGGGCGCGUAAUUCAAGGGUGUGGCGCGAGCUCCUUAGGGAGCGAAGCAAUUGGAAGUGGUUCCAAGAAAAGCCUCUAAGCUUCAGUCUAACGAUGACCGUACCGCAAACCGACACAGGUGGGCGAGAUGAGUAUUCUAAGGCGCUUGAGAGAACUCGGGAGAAGGAACUCGGCAAAUUGGUACCGUAACUUCGGGAUAAGGUACGCCCUUGUAGCUUGACUGGCCUGCGCCAGGAGGGUGAAGGGGUUGCAAUAAACUGGUGGCUGCGACUGUUUAAUAAAAACACAGCACUCUGCAAACACGAAAGUGGACGUAUAGGGUGUGACGCCUGCCCGGUGCCGGAAGAUUAAAUGAUGGGGUGCAAGCUCUUGAUUGAAGUCCCGGUAAACGGCGGCCGUAACUAUAACGGUCCUAAGGUAGCGAAAUUCCUUGUCGGGUAAGUUCCGACCUGCACGAAUGGCGUAACGAUGGCCACACUGUCUCCUCCCGAGACUCAGCGAAGUUGAAGUGUUUGUGAUGAUGCAAUCUACCCGCGGCUAGACGGAAAGACCCCAUGAACCUUUACUGUAGCUUUGCAUUGGACUUUGAACCGAUCUGUGUAGGAUAGGUGGGAGGCUAUGAAACCGGAACGCUAGUUUCGGUGGAGCCGUCCUUGAAAUACCACCCUGGUUUGUUUGAGGUUCUAACCUUGGCCCGUGAUCCGGGUCGGGGACAGUGCAUGGUAGGCAGUUUGACUGGGGCGGUCUCCUCCCAAAGCGUAACGGAGGAGUACGAAGGUACGCUAGGUACGGUCGGAAAUCGUGCUGAUAGUGCAAUGGCAUAAGCGUGCUUAACUGCGAGACCGACAAGUCGAGCAGGUGCGAAAGCAGGUCAUAGUGAUCCGGUGGUUCUGUAUGGAAGGGCCAUCGCUCAACGGAUAAAAGGUACUCUGGGGAUAACAGGCUGAUACCGCCCAAGAGUUCAUAUCGACGGCGGUGUUUGGCACCUCGAUGUCGGCUCAUCUCAUCCUGGGGCUGUAGCCGGUCCCAAGGGUAUGGCUGUUCGCCAUUUAAAGAGGUACGUGAGCUGGGUUUAAAACGUCGUGAGACAGUUUGGUCCCUAUCUGCCGUGGGCGUUGGAUAUUUGAAGGGGGCUGCUCCUAGUACGAGAGGACCGGAGUGGACGAACCUCUGGUGUACCGGUUGUCACGCCAGUGGCAUCGCCGGGUAGCUAUGUUCGGAAGAGAUAACCGCUGAAAGCAUCUAAGCGGGAAACUCGCCUUAAGAUGAGAUAUCCCUGG